GGGUAGUAAAAAAGUUGAGAUAUUUUGAGUUUAGAGUAUCUGUGCAAUAUUCAAAUCUAAAUAGUGAGUAAGUUGUUUGAGUAUGUGCUCUUGACUGACUGUGAAAUGUGAAUUAAAACAGACUUGGGGGUGUAGCAAUACCUGCAGAGAGCAAGGAAGAUAAACAGAAAACCUCAAAACAAUGAAAUAAACAAAGAAAGUUCACAGAGUGAGAUAAAUGAAACCAAAUCAGAAUCUCAGACACAUGAGCAUUUGAGGAGAAUGCCACAAAUAAGAUAAUAAAUGGAGCAAAUAAGAAAACUAGAAGACAAUGGUGUUAUAGAAGCCAGAAGAAUUGAGGAUUUUUUUAAAGAAACUGUCGGUAAUGUCAAGAGCCAGGGGGAGGUCAAGUGAGACAAAAACUGGAAAUGAUUAAGUUAGCAAUAAGUAGUGAGGGGGUAAAAGUACCGUGGACUGAAGAGAGAAUAAAAGGUGAGUAACUGGAAAAACAGUGAAUAUGGACUAUUUUUCCAAAAAGUCUGAAUGCAAAGGAAAUGAAGGACAGGGAGAGACACAUACUAGAAAGAGUUAUGGUCAAAGAAGUACAUGUCUGCUUAUUUGUUUUUAAAAUGAAAGACUCUGGUGUAUUUAUAUGUUAAAACAAUGCAGCCAGUGAUUGAAAACCAGCGGGAAAACAUCUCAUGGAACAUGGUCUGAGUCAUAAGGAAUUUUACCUUAGCCAGCAAAAACAGAGGAACAAAGAACCCUGGGUAUGAGCAGGGUUUUUCUUUCUCAGGGAAGAAAGUAUGGAUGUGUACAGCUUAACAGGUGUUACAAGAGGAAGGCACAUCAUGGAAGAGAUCGUAUGUCUCACCGAAAAAAAAAAAAAAAUCUGACUUUUAUUCUGUGAGCAACUGAGAGUUACUUAAAAAUUAAGGAACGGAGUAAUAUGAUUAAAGAUUACAUUCUAUAGCCCCAGGCGUUUUGUAUAGCCACUGGGAAACAUGAAGAGUUGACUGGAAACACCUAAAAAUGUGCUAAAUAUCCAUCCAGAGGAGUAUUCUCUAAUGUUCCCCCCGUGCUGCUUCUAUGCAAAGAUGCACUAGCUGAUGUUGACACCACACGUCCCUUGAUCCCUCAGAGAGCUUAAUUUUCUUUGUUGAUUUAUUGUUAUGGGCCACUCUCAACACAAGGAUUUUGGUUUAUUUUUGUCUCUCUCUGAUCAUUAAGAAGAAUCUAUUUGAAAUUUAUUUUAGCAUUUUAUAAACUUUCUUCUUCAAACUUUUCUACAAAACUGCUAAUAGGGGUCAGGUGCGGCGGCUCACGCCUGUAAUCCCAGCACUUUGGGAGGCCAAGGCAGGUGGAUCACCUGAGGUCAGGAGUUCGAGGCCAGCCUGGCAAAACCCCGUCUCUACAAAACAUUCAAAAUUAGCUGGACAUGGUAGUGCAUGCCUGUAGUUCCAACUACUCUGGAGACUGAGGCAGGAGAAUUGCUUGAACCUGGGAGGCAGAGACUGCAAUGAGCUGAGAUCCAGCCACUGCAACAGAGCAAGACUCCAUCUCGAAAAAUAAAAAAAAACUGCUAAUAGGUAGAAAAAUAAAAUGUGUAAUACGUUAUAAACGGAAUUUUAUCAUGUAAAAAAUUUUAAAGACAAAAAAAUCUUUCACAUAAAAUACCAAGUUUCAAAUCUGAAAUCUAGGUAAAAUUACUUCCAAGGUUUAAACAGAAUUUGAAGUAAAGCAGUGUCUACUUCUUUUUCUUAACUAACACAAGAGAUCUACUUCAGAAUUCAUUACAUCAACAUAAAUGCACUUUUGUAUGUUAACGAUUGUAUAAAACAAACUUUUUUUAAAAUACUGAGGUAUAUAGAAAAAUGUACUGAAAUAGUUGGUAUCUGCUUUUGCAAAAUUGUGCAAAAUACUGUUAAUUCAUCUUCAAGACGGUUGUUAGGUGUAUAAAAGAAAAACUAUCCAAUCUCAGAAUGAUUACCUGAGUCACUCCUGGAGAAACCAUCCCAAACUCAGAAUCAAAAUAACUAAAAUAAACAUACUAGAAGAUGACAAAGAAUUCUGCAAAACUGUCUUUUAAAAGUCCUUCACUUAAAAAGAAAGUUUUGAAUGACUUAGGGUAAGUCAGUUAAAUGAUUUUUUUCUAUCAUAAACUAAGCACAAGUAGACUGUACAUUCUAAAUGAAUCUGCUCAGUGUUGAACUGUGCUUUUAAAUACACAAAGGUUUCCAUCAAAGCCAACAAUUUACCUUUGACUAAAAGAAUAUUAAGGAAUCAAACACCAAAUGUCACCUCCCAAUCCUCCCCAUUAUCUCCAUCUUUAAACUGAAACACACAACAAACUAUUGGGCAUUUAAGUACCAGGCAUUCUCUCACAGCGGUGUGUUUACUCAACCACUCUCUUGGCCUAAACCUCCCUUGAAAUGAAAAACAAGCCUUUUCCUUAAAGGCCUCCUAAGGGAGGGAUGGGGGACGUAGAGAAAGGGCUUCUUUCCUCAGACAGGGUUGUCUCUCUGUUACACCAUCUACACACCUUUUCUGUUUCCCUGGCUAGUCUUAUUUUUACUGGCAACACAAAAACAAUGUGUUCUAUAAUCAUAGCUAUAAUUCUCCAAUACCCCCCAAAAAGGAAAUACAUGAGUAAGUCACUGUGUAGGGCUUUUGCUUGUUUUUUAAACCUGCUUCUCCACUAUUAUUACUCUCUUACUACAGCAAUGUAACAACUUCCCUAAGGAGAAAACUUCGAACUGUGGACAUUUCCUGGCCUAAAACUGGUUGUAAAGGCUUAUAAGUCCCUAAUGGCAAUUUACACAUAGUUAUCCAGUAGAGGAAAUGUUCACUGUAAACACAGCCAAUCAAAAGAUAAAAAUGAAAUAUUAAAAAAACACAUCAUACAGAUUUACAUUAAAUUAUCUCAUGAUAAUGGCUGAGUUAGGACUUUCCAUGAUUCCUCAAAGGUUUUCCCCCAGCUAAAACUACGUAAAAAUCACACAACUUACAUAAGCUUGCAAUAAAAUACAUUCACUGCACCUUCUCUUAAAACCAAAUCCUUACCCGACAAGUAGCUCACUUACACUUCUAUUCAAAGAAAUUCGUAAAUGCACUAAAAAGCUUGCAAUGUAGUUACUUAAUAUUAAUCUCAUAAUUCCAGAAUAUAUUUUAAAUUCCUAAAACUGAAGUUUUUCCUAUGGAAAACAAUGUAGUUGGUUUUCUCUUGGACUCAACCUUACACAACAAUAAAGGAUUUAAUUUUUUCUUUUAGCAAUAGAAUUGCUAUAAGCCUCACAAAAAUUGUUCUCAUUCAACAAUUGAAAUACAAGACAUAGACUUCCAAAACGGGACUCACUUUACACUUAACUAAAGAUAGGAAGGAACCUACUUUUCUAUUAGAUGUUCACACUCUUUCAGUAUUCCUUAAGAACAAAGAAAAAAAUAAAAAUCUGUACAUUUUAACUCUCUUUCCUAAAGUACACUACAUAUUGACAAGGAAACGGACCAAAAGCCCCUGCGAUUCUUUCAGGAUCACCAAGUCAGACUAAAAACUUAUCACCGGCAGUACUACAAAAACCUACAAAGUUACAGAGCUGGGUGACACCUUAUCAGCCUUCUCAGGAUCUGUCGGAAACCGCAAACGUAAAAGCAAAAAAGUCACACGCACUGAAGGUUUCUCAGCAGAGAAGCUCAACUAAAGGGCUAAAUAAAAGCACGCGGGUGGCACACUGAAAUGUCGUAGAAGGCAAGAAGCCCCGCUACUAUGAACCUACAACUCUCCGUUUGCGGCUGACGCAUCGCUCCUGCCCGCACGCGCCUGGGUCCGUGCCAACAGCACCCGGCAGCCCUUGCCAGGCACCUCCAAGGAUUCUCCACCUCCCCCGCGCCCUACACCUGACGGUCGAGUUCUAAACCCGGCGAAAAAGGCUGCAUUCCCUGUGGUAUCCAAUCCAGCCUCUCCUGCUUCCUGAGUUCUCUCCAGUGAUGCAAAAUCAGAUAAGGAAACACACCUCGUCUAGGAAGCAAGAGGAAAUAUGACAAAGCACACAGAAACUAGAAAUAAAGGUCAAAAUCUACACCAUCGAACCCAAAUAAUCUUCUUCAGUUUUAAUGAUGGACCCAAACCAAAACAGUUCUCACAUUCACAUGUUAGAAACUAACUCCAUCUGCAUCACUUACGAUAGGCUGUAGUAAACUGAACCAAAUGAGAAAAAUCCCAGCAGCAAACUUGCUGACAAAACUUUAGCCAAUUGCCAGGGUAGUCCGUUACAGGAACGUCAGAUGAAACCAAUGUGCUGUAAAUAAACCUAUAUUGUAUUUUAUGAUACGGUUCGAAUUUAAAUCCCUAGGUAGCGCCACGAAACAAAAGACAUAUUGAUGCUACUGCCAUUGAGCAGCACAGUUUGUCUAGAAAAUAAACGAGACGAAACAACAGUCUAGACAUAGGCACCAAGUCUGAGUUUUCAUGUGCGAUCCAGGUAUUAAGAGUCCAUCCAGGAACAGCCUGCUGGAAUUGCUAGCCUGGCAUUCACAGAAGAUUGUGACACCCAGGAGGAAUGUGUCUUCAGCCAUGAAGUUCCUGGGAGUAAGACGUGAAGCCAGCUGGAUUUCUGGGUUGGGUGAACUUGGAGAACUUUUCUUACAAGAGGAUUGUAAAAUGCACCAAUCAGCACUCUGUAGCUAGCUAGAGUUUUGUAAAAUGCACCAAUCAGUGCUCUGUAAAAAUGCACCUAUCAGCGCUCUGUAGGUAGCUAGAGGUUUGUAAAAUGGACCAAUCAGCACUCUGUAAAAUGGACGAAUCAGCAGGGCAUGGGCAGGGACAAAUAAGCCAAUAAAAGCUGGCCACCCCGGCCUGCAGGGGCAGCCUGCUUGGGUAGCUUUCCACCUUGUGGAAGCUUUGUUCUUUUGCUCUUCACGAUAAAUCUUGCUGCUGCUCA